rnacentral:lncRNA from 1 species
CGGCAUAUAGGGUACAAUCGCAGAUAAAUACGGUAUAGGCACCACGCCUACACAAUACUUAUCAUUUACCCACUGUACACAUGGAUAAACUCUAUACGAUCCUAAACAUGUAUAUAAUUCUAAUCUAACUAAGCCAAGCAUAUAACUAUGAUAAACUAAGAACAAUAUAAUUGCAAAUAUAAACAAGUAGAUCAAAGUCAUAAUCAAUAUAUUGAAGUAGAACAAAGUCAUAUUCAUAAUAUUGAAGAACAAUGAUGAGCAAUUGAAGAACAAUAGAGAAUUACCAAGAUGUGUGGUGGCUCCUUGACAGAUCCGGAAACCAAUCGAAGAUUGACUCCUUCUAGUUCUAAUCCUAUGUAGCUAUGCUAAACUAGAGAUCUAAUUGAUGUGGUGGCUCUAGGGCUUGAUCAGAGGCUUCUUCUCCCAAGAUGGAUAAUGAAUUAGGGUUCAGAGGUCCUCUCCUCCAGGGGCCAGGGGGUCUACUUAUAUAGUCCUUCCAAGUGAAUGUGGGCCGUCGGAUCAAACCGACAUUAAUCGCACGGUUUUCCUUGAUCCUUUAGGUCGGUGGAGCAUGAUCCGCGAAGUUGAAGCUGAUUGGCCCCGAGGCCAGGGAGGGCGCCCUGCCGCCGAGCCUGUCCGGUCUCCCGUUCGUUCCCGUGGCUUCUGGACUCUUCUAGAUGUAGGAUAAUUGCGCAGCACGUUAAUAUCUCUAUGUAAACCGACGUGUGGGCCUUUCUUCCAUAAUUCCUGAUAACCCCCUACAGAAAUAGACAAACACCAAAACUCGUGGAAUUCUGUCAGAUAAAACCCUAAGUCUGGAUGUCGGUUGCAUUUGGAUCCUUUUCUUUGUUUAUUUGCUGAUUAUAUUUGAUACUUAAGGACCGUCAACAAACUCCUCCAAGCUUACCUCUUGCUCGUCCCUGAGCAAGGAUAAUCUCAGUGAUGGAUCAGAAGUUGUUGUAAUGCCUUUAAAAGUUGAUGGUACACAUGCUUCCAAAUGAGAUCUCAUCUCUGAGUUAGAGUAAACUGUCAAGACUUAAAACUUACUUAUGUUAACCUUUCACCAUGGGACUUGUAACCGUCACUUUCGUCUUGCAUAGUUAAAAGAUAGAACGGUCUAGUCAAGUGCCAUGUCUCUUAUUCUUGAUCAGCUAUAGCUCUGGAGUUUUUGCAGAUUUUCAAAUAAAACUCAGAGAUUCCUUGUAUGACUCUCUCAGAUCUCUCUUUUGUGAUAUUUCUGGAUCCUUACCAAGGCAGUGAUGGUAUAUGCCUUUUCUCAAAGUAUGUGGUAUUUGUGGUAUAAGGCAUAGUGACAUUGCCUUCUCUCUCACCCUAUUCUAAUAAGGCUUUUAUAUCUGGAGCUCAUAGGUGGUAGAUAAAGUAUACAUACUUACAAGACAUUUAUUGCAUAGUCAAACCAUGGAUCCAAAGAAACAAGUCAAUAAGUCAAAUCAAUAUGUGCAUGUGUGGCGAAUGAAUGGUGUAUGGUGAUGAUGGUAAUAACAAUGGUGAAAGUCUAAUUCUACUUUUGCUCUUUUGAGGGGAUACAUACCUUUCUUGCUCUUUUGAAACUUUUGGGGAGGAUGAGAUGCUCUAUAUUUUCUUUUUCUUUCCUCUCAGGUGGGUAUCUUGUACCCCUAAUUGUACUGUCAGACACUUGUCCAUUUUUACCUCUCGUCUCACUUUUUCUUUUCUUUCGAGGUUCCGGGCACUUGCCCCUUUUUAUUCCCUCGUAUCUUUUUUUCUUCUUUUUUUAGAGCACUCUUCUCCUGAAAUAAUAUAGCAAGUGGCAGUAACCAAGAUAACUUGAGCAUUUGUUUCACAGGGAAAACAGGAAUGUUUUUGGCUAUUCUCUCCCAGAUUAGGAGUAGAAAAUUUUUGGGUGGUUCUGGAGAUGGAAAUGAGUGGAUAUAUGUGGAUGCGUACUCUCGGAGUAGAAGCAGCAUGUGUGAGUGAACGUGCAAGUGAAUCUUGAUUUAACCACAUGACAAGCUCCUAGGAGUCUACACAACUUGACCACACUCAAUGCUCAUAAGUAGUAAAAAGUAAAUGUGUGGCUCAAAGUCUAGCAAGCAUGUAUAUAUGGCUGUGGUAGGAAUUUAAACUCUCAUCAUAUAGAACCUCAUCAUGUGAUAUUUUAAAGAUUUUCAAAGAUAAAAUUUCUCCAGAAUUCUAGCAUCUCUAGGAAUAGAUAAACAACAACUCAACCUUCCCAUAUCAUAUCCGUUAACAACUUAGAGUUUUGAUCAAGUUCUCUUCCCACAAGUUCAGGUUUUAGAGCAAGCUUUAAAUUAUAACAGUUAUGUCUAAACUAGAGAGAGAACUCAAAUUUGAAAAUUAGGCAGAGCAACUAUUCAUUAUAUCCAUGCUAGAGUUUUAUUAUCAAGAUUCAGUUUAGCAUAGCCACUUUAUUUAUUUAUUAAGCACACUAAGCAAAAGAUAUAUAUAUAUAAGCACAAAAUCUUUAUUUGGUUUUUCAUGGUUAUGUAUAUUUAUAUUUUAAUAUAGUAUAAGUAUAUAUAUGUAGAUAGGAAUACUUAGCGAGAUAAAUGGGGGUGCUCUCCCCCAAGCUGAAUUUUGAUGUAAUUUCUUCUGAUGUAGCUAGCAGGUGGCAGAGGUGUAUUUGAAAGUCGGUAGUACCCUGACAGCGAUUAGGAUGUCCUCCGUCUGCUAGUCUUCUUGAUUCUUGAAUUCUGUGGAGCUCAAAUAGACAACAAAGCUUUGUGGAACUGAUUAGGUGUUAGCAUAAAUAUCUAGCCUUUAUCAUGUUGAGCCUCCUCAAUAAGUGUUACUCUCUAUUUUUAUAUUUUCAUUUUAUAGAGCAGAAAAAAUUAUUUAUUUCAUUUUUAUGCCACCACAGUGAAUGUACUUAUGGGUUUUAUGCCACUCGUAUACUCACAUGGGGCUUACUAUUUUUUAACAUUUUUAUUUUCUUUGUUAAGAUAGUAUGAACAUGAUUAACUAAGUAAACUAUUUUAAAUAAUUGAAAGGAAAAAGAUAACUACCAAGUUUACCUCUUGGCAAGGCGUUCGGUGUUUUUAAGUCCUCCGAACGGGACUCUCUGUUUUCUUAGUUGUCCUUGGAUUCGUUGGAUGGCGUAGUCGGUGCUUCCGGCGACGCCUCUUCUUCGUGUAUAGUUAUCUUCUCUCUCCACACCUGACUCAGUGUUAUGGUCUCCUUAGAACAAUUUUGUUCAAGCUGUAUGUCUUCAGAUCUUACCACUUCUCCUUCGUAGUCUGCCCAUCUGUCCUUGAUGAUUUGCCUUCUCUGGUUGCGGUUGCGUCGUCUUCUACUUGUCCUGACCUACUUAGAGUCUUCAACUACAUAAUUAGGGUCAGUAAAAUAGCGGCGUACCUUCUCUGAGGGGAAGUGCAUGUGAACUUCUCCGGUUCCAAUGUAGAUGAUUGCUUUAACAAUGCUGAGGAACGGUCUUCCAAGGAUGAUGGGUGGAUCGUACUCAUCUUCUCCCAUGUGAAUAAGCUGAAAGUCUGUAUGGACAAAAUUAUCGUCUAUUUUGACAGGGACAUCAGUUACUAUACCUUCAACCUUCCGGAAUGUCUGAUCUGCCAUCUGGAGCUGAAUGUAUGUCGGUUUUAAGGGCAUGGUUCUGAAAAAGAGCCGAUAGGUGACUGCGGCCAUUAUGUUGACGCCCGAUCUGGUGUCGCAAAACGUCUUGUAGAAGUUGUACCC